rnacentral:rRNA from 1 species
AGAGUUUGAUCAUGGCUCAGAACGAACGCUGGCGGCAUGCCUAACACAUGCAAGUCGAACGAACUCUUCGGAGUUAGUGGCGCACGGGUGCGUAACGCGUGGGAAUCUGCCCUUGGGUACGGAAUAACUCAGAGAAAUUUGUGCUAAUACCGUAUAAUGUCUUCGGACCAAAGAUUUAUCGCCCAAGGAUGAGCCCGCGUAAGAUUAGCUAGUUGGUGGGGUAAAAGCCUACCAAGGCGACGAUCUUUAGCUGGUCUGAGAGGAUGAUCAGCCACACUGGGACUGAGACGCGGCCCAGACUCCUACGGGAGGCAGCAGUGGGGAAUAUUGGACAAUGGGCGAAAGCCUGAUCCAGCAAUGCCGCGUGAGUGAUGAAGGCCUUAGGGUUGUAAAGCUCUUUUACCCGGGAUGAUAAUGACAGUACCGGGAGAAUAAGCUCCGGCUAACUCCGUGCCAGCAGCCGCGGUAAUACGGAGGGAGCUAGCGUUGUUCGGAAUUACUGGGCGUAAAGCGCGCGUAGGCGGUUUUUUAAGUCAGAGGUGAAAGCCCAGUGCUCAACACUGGAACUGCCUUUGAAACUGGAAAACUUGAAUCUUGGAGAGGUCAGUGGAAUUCCGAGUGUAGAGGUGAAAUUCGUAGAUAUUCGGAAGAACACCAGUGGCGAAGGCGACUGACUGGACAAGUAUUGACGCUGAGGUGCGAAAGCGUGGGGAGCAAACAGGAUUAGAUACCCCGGUAGUCCAA